rnacentral:rRNA from 1 species
GACGAACGCUGGCGGCGUGCUUAACACAUGCAAGUCGAACGGAAAGGCCCUGCUUUUGUGGGGUGCUCGAGUGGCGAACGGGUGAGUAACACGUGAGUAACCUGCCCUUGACUUUGGGAUAACUUCAGGAAGCUGGGGCUAAUACCUGAUAGGAGCUCCUGCUGCAUGGUGGGGGUUGGAAAGUAUCGGCGGUGGGGGAUGGACUCGCGGCUUAUCAGCUUGUUGGUUGGGUAGUGGCUUACCAAGGCUUUGACGGGUAGCCGGCCUGAGAGGGUGACCGGCCACAAUGGGACUGAGAUACGGCCCAGACUCCUACGGGAGGCAGUAGUGGGGAAUAUUGCACAAUGGGCGGAAGCCUGAUGCAGCAACGCCGCGUGCGGGAUGACGGCCUUCGGGUUGUAAACCGCUGUCGCUUGUGACGAAGCGGGAGUGACGGUAAUGGGUAAAGAAGCACCGGCUAACUACGUG